GCUAGUGUGGUGCACUGGUCUGAUCUUUGGACUACAAUUCUGGAGAUCAGGGUUCGAUUCCCCGCUCAACCA